rnacentral:antisense_RNA from 1 species
GGCAGCCGAUGGAAAAUUCAGACGGAAUUGGGACAGUAUGCAGGGUUCUCCAAGCGACAGAUUAACAGAGGCUCUUGAAGAAGAACUCUGUGUAAUCACGUGUUCUGCUCAAAAGAAGGCCUGAAUGCCCAGUGCCUUAUUUGGCUUUCAGGGGUCUUGCCGUGUCACCCAGGCUGGAGUACAGUGGUGCAAUCAUAGCUCACUGCUGCCUCAAACUCCUAGACUCAAGCAAUCCUCCUGCCUCAGCCUCCCGAGUAGCUGGGACUACAGUUUCCCCAUGUGUAUGCUGUGGUAUUGGACCAGCAACGAGAUAAGAAGAUUUCUCCCAUUUUUGAGCGUCUAUGAUGAUUCUGAGGCACAAGGUCACAUUUGACAGUACCAGGAAACCCAGGAAACAACAAGGAAACAUGACAUAGGAUGUGUCUGCUUAGGCAGACGAUCUAUUUGGACAAGAUAAUAGACCCAGGCAUGGACGUGCUCUCCAAGAAAGAUGCCCUAACAGCUGCUCAGACUGAAGCUGAAUCAAACAUUCCAAUCCUUAGAGGUUCCAGAUAAGAUCUUGAAGGCUCCCUGAGCCACUGACAUAAUGGCCAUGCCAUGCCAAUGAUCAAACACAAAUUGUGGCCUUGUUUUGGACAGAAAUAAAGAGCCCAGUUUGUCAGUGA